GCAUAUUUUAGGAUUUGAGAACAGUGAAAAUGAUUGGCAACGAUAGAUUGCGAGAUGGUUUGUAUCUGUUCGAUGACGUGUGUGGUCCCUCAAAUCCUAGAGCAAAUCUGGCUUUGUCAGGAAAGAGGGCUAAUGAAGAGAUUAUUCAAUGACAGGAGAUUGGGAUAUCCAUUUUUUUCUGCUCCAGAAAGGUUAUGUUGUAGACAUCUAUUUUUUUUUACUCCAGUAACACAUGAUUUGUAAAAGCAGUGAGUAGUCUUGUGAUGAAAUACCAUUAGAUAAUGAGAAAUCUUAAAAUACUCAGGAGACUUUAGAAUGACAGAAAUAUUAAUUAAUCAAUUUGAUCGAUUUGAUUUUGGUUUGCUAAUUGGGAGCAUAAAA
rnacentral:misc_RNA from 1 species